rnacentral:sRNA from 1 species
UAUCUCUCCGUACGGGGAAGGAUGAGAAGCUUCGACUAAGGUUCGAUUCGAGCGCAGCGAGAAAGCGUUGCCGCAAGCAACGACCCGAAGGGUGAGGAGCGGAGCGACGAAUAAUCCUUCCCCCACCACCA